CUAUCUGCAGUCGAGCGAUCAAUAGGAGCUUGCUCCUGUUGAUUAGCGGCGGACGGGUGAGUAACACGUGGGCAACCUGCCUGUAAGACUGGGAUAACACCGGGAAACCGGUGCUAAUACCGGAUAAUCCUUUUCCUCUCAUGAGGAAAAGCUGAAAGUCGGUUUCGGCUGACACUUACAGAUGGGCCCGCGGCGCAUUAGCUAGUUGGUGAGGUAAUGGCUCACCAAGGCGACGAUGCGUAGCCGACCUGAGAGGGUGAUCGGCCACACUGGGACUGAGACACGGCCCAGACUCCUACGGGAGGCAGCAGUAGGGAAUCUUCCACAAUGGACGAAAGUCUGAUGGAGCAACGCCGCGUGAGCGAUGAAGGCCUUCGGGUCGUAAAGCUCUGUUGUUAGGGAAGAACAAGUACCGGAGUAACUGCCGGUACCUUGACGGUACCUAACCAGAAAGCCACGGCUAACUACGUGCCAGCAGCCGCGGUAAUACGUAGGUGGCAAGCGUUGUCCGGAAUUAUUGGGCGUAAAGCGCGCGCAGGCGGUCCUUUAAGUCUGAUGUGAAAGCCCACGGCUCAACCGUGGAGGGUCAUUGGAAACUGGGGGACUUGAGUGCAGAAGAGGAAAGCGGAAUUCCACGUGUAGCGGUGAAAUGCGUAGAGAUGUGGAGGAACACCAGUGGCGAAGGCGGCUUUCUGGUCUGUAACUGACCCUGAGGCGCGAAAGCGUGGGGAGCAAACAGGAUUAGAUACCCCUGGUAGUCCACGCCCGUAAACGAUGAGUGCUAAGUGUUUAGAGGGGUUUCCGCCCUUUAGUGGCUGCCAGCUAACGCAUUUAAGCACUCCCGCCCUGG
rnacentral:rRNA from 1 species